rnacentral:lncRNA from 11 species
ACACAUUUGUGCCUCUUUUUGACAAGUAGGAAUAUUUUAAUUGUAAAAUACAGUAUAGGAUCUUUUUAAAUUUCUGGGUGCUUGAAGUUAGAAACAACAACAACUGUGCUUAAAGGGAAAGGAAGGAGACGGCUGUCCCAAAGUAACUGCUUAUAGAGGGAUAUACUUGAGGUGUGGUUGUUCUAGGCAAAAGCCACCAAAGUGGGGAAUCUUGUCAGGGUGGUGUUGGCUUGAGGCAGGCAGGCAAGAAGGAAGGCAGGCAGGCAGGCGAUCCCAAGGAGGUUGAAAAGUCGCCCCUCUUCCUGGAGGCCGGGACCCCGAGCCUCCCUGGAGCCGGGCGGCCGCUUCCUUUUCAGGCCUGUUCCAAGCCAGGGCUCCCGGCGAAGCUCCCGGCCCCUCUCGGCUUCCCUCCUGGCAGGGAUCGGGACCGGAGCCGCGGCCAAGUUGGUCUCCGCCGCCUCCUUUUGCCGAGCGGCAACUUUCCCGGCAACUUCCCGCCGCCAGAGUCCGGUCCCGUGGCCGAGGAGGAGGAGGGAGGCGAGGAAGGAGGGAGGGAGGCAGGGAAGGGGGAGGCGGGGCGGAGCGGGAGGCCGCUGGAAUGCGCGAGGGGGGGCUGCGAACCCCUCUCCCUCCCCCUCCCCCUCCCUCGCGGCGGCGCUUCCUCCCCGCCUCCUCCCCCCUCCCUCCCUCCGCGGCCGCCGCCUGGGCUGAAUCUUAUUGAUCCAGAAGGUGGCUAAUUAGCCCUUCCCGUCGUGCCUGGGUAAUGAGGCACAUGCGCACUGCACUAAUCAGCCAUUUUUUGCAGGAAACUAAUUAGCAGAAUAAAGAUCCAAAGAGUUUGCUCCCCUCCCGGUCGCAGAGCCGCGCGCCGGCGCUUCCUCCUCCUCCUCCGGCCGCCCCGAGACGCCCGAGACCGGACCCGGACCGCGCCGGAGCCCUUGCCCUCGCCUCCGCCGGCCCGC